CUUAAAUUCACAGAAUGGGUGUUAUUCAUACAUUUCAGCAAGGUGAAUUAUUUCUCAAAGACAGCAUGUGGGCUUUGGAGUGACUAGCAGAUUUUGAUACUAACUUGGUCACAGAACACUGAAGAAGAGAGAAAGUGAGAUUACUAAAAAUAAAACGAAACAAUACAAAAACCUCUCCAAACAGAUAUACAAGCUUGAGCUGGAAGAACUGAGGUCCUCAAAACCUGCUAUCACUCCCAGACCAUAGAUAUACAGACUUUAGAGUUACUGGAGCCCAAGAGAUCUUGAGAGGCACCUACUUCUCUCCUCUACCUGAAUUCUUUAUGACAUAUCAAUCUUCAUAUAUUCCUAGAAUAUUGAAUUUGUUAAAAGUUUUGUUUCAAAAGGAGCAAUUAACUAAUACUUUGCAUAAGAGUAACCACAAUGAAAACACAUUUGCUUGUAAAAUAUACAACUGAUAGCAAUACAUUUGAAUUUUACUAUUUACUGGGCUUAUAGAUUUGAUUUUUAUUUUUUUCUCUAUGCUGUUAUAUAUUACCAAUCAUGAAAAUGGAAUUAGAAUAUCUUAGAGAUCCAGAGAAAAAAUGGCACGUGUCUAAGUUAUCAUCAUCUGUGUAACCAACUACAAAUAAUUUAUUAAAUGUAUAUGCUGCUCAACUCCCAGCGGCUCUGAUUCAGUGGUUCUUUUUUGAGCUUGUAGCCCAAGCCUCUUUUUCCUCCUGUCUUCUACUUUGAUUGGUUCAGGAUGGAACUUCAGCCUAGCUUGUGAAUA